UUGUUAGCAUUGCCGUAUACCUGUCUGUACAAGCACCGAUCCGUAGCCAUGCAACCCACCAGCACUGUGGCCCAACCCCUGCUGCUGCACCGCGUCCUUCUGCCACCAGUGACCUUCAAACGUCGUUUUAACAACAUCAACGCAGCGCCUGCCAUUGCUCGUCGUUCCAUUUUCCUUUGCACGCCGCUGAGCUCCAUCCUUUGGUGCAUUCAGGAAGGCUUAGAAAUUUUCGGAAGGCGGGGGUGUUGUUAAAGCUUAGGAUUCAGUGAAGUCUUCGAGAAGCUGGCGCAAAUCGAAGGGUCGCACGGGUCGCAAGGCCCCAUCAUCGCUGGAGAUGACGAUAAUGGUGAUGCGCAGAAGAUGGUAGUGUCGGGAGAUGAUGCGCAGAAUUGUAAGAUCGUGCAAGCCGAAAUGCAGCGCUUGAAGCGUUUCCCUUCAGGAAGCUCCUACGCCACGAAUCGCUUCAGAAUGCUUGAUAAAGCACUGCAGCUUCUUGGGAAGGUGCGCACGACGGCUGAGGGUGAGGAAUUGGAGGUUCUUUUCGCUAACUUGAAUUUCUGACCUCUCCACGGUAGGGUGGGCAAGAGGAGUUCGGCGAUCCCAAUCGACUACGUACCACCUGCCCUUUGUAAAUUUCAGUAUUGCACUAGAGGUACUGUAAUUUGAAGACAUAAGUGUGUAAUCAUCUAUAUAUAUCUAUAGAUAUAGAUAUAUUCAUAUGUGCACACACACACACAUAAGGAUAGAGAGGGAGAGAGAGUGAGAAUGCUUGCUAUAACUAUUCAGAAACUAAUGCUCUACCUACACACACUCGAAUGGUUUUGAAAUGCCUCACCGUAGCUACAAUAUUAACAGUGGUACAUACAACCUUCCAAGUUUCUGAUUCACAUGCAGAGUGAGCAAGGUCAGUUCAAUACAACGGGUGAGGAGUUUUGAGAGGGGUGGGUGUCAGGGUAGGAUGCAUGUUUGUGGGAGUGAAAGGGGGUAUUGGGGCAAAGAGGAGCACAAUGGCGGCGUCGUCUGUGCUGGAAAUGUAGUGAGGGAGCCCAAAAGCGUGGAGAUGAAGGAUGCACUGGUACGGAAGAUUUUCAAAACGACAGGGGGAUCCAGGCUUGUCCCGGGAGGCGCUAGAAGGAGGGGUCGAACCUCCGACCUUGUGGUUAACAGCCACACGCUCUAACCAACUGAGCUAUUCCAGCUGGUGGGGAGCUGCUUGCCUGCAUCAGUUGGGGGAGGAACCCGCGUCUGCAACGUGAUCGAUCGAAUUUUUACUUCAUGAUCAGCGGUGCAUCGAGGCAGUUUUUACCGAUGACUGACGUGCCAGCGCCCGAGAAACUCGCAUGCUCGCAUGGCUCCACUGCGGCCUGCUCCGUGUUAAGUACUCUCCGAACUACCCACCUCCAUCACCCGUUCCACAGCAGCAUCUCCUCCCCAUUGCAGACCCUUCACACACACACACACACACAUAUAUAUAUAUAUAUAUAUAUGCUCUGAACCCUCCCUUUCAGAAAGGAAAAUGGAUGUGAAAAAUUAGAGUUUGACAGCCUCUAUGUAAUGUGCAUGUAUGGAUGGAUGCUAUUGUAAUAGCUUGUUUGAUUAUUUCUUCUGCUUCAAUUGAAUAUUUGCGCAUAAGUGAGUGACCCGUUGUAUCCAACUGAUAGAUGGGGUCCCUCCGAAAGAGCUGCCCAUGAUUAGAAACAUAAAGAAGAAAAAGAAGAAGAUGAUUAUUUGUAUUAA